CCUCCAUAAGCCAUUUGGAUUCUCUUCCUUCUCCUACACGUUGGCUUCCUCAACAAGCCAUUUGGAUUCUCUUCCUUCUCCUACACGUUGGCUUCCUCAACAAGCCAUUAGACUUUCUCAUCCCUCUCUUCACCCAUAAGCUUCCUCAAGAAGCUAAGUAGAUUCCUCUUUCUUCCCCCACACGUCGGAUCCAAGGAAAAGAGAAACACAAUCCUCUCAUUUUCCCUUGCAUCACCGACGGCCUCCAAGACAAAAACCAGUAAAUUUCCUCCCCAGCACUCCAGUAAAUUUCCUCCCCAGCUCUCUUCAUCUAUCAAUUCCAAGGCACCCGAAGGAGAGAAAAUCUCCUCAAGCCGAUUCUUCCAUUCGUAAACCCAAGUCUCCCAUAGAAAAUCUCCAUGGGAAAAUCAACCCCCUUUGAGAUUUCGGGUUUUCUCUUCCCCUUCUCAUCUGCUGUGUAUUCCGUGGCUUAAAAAGGGACCCAACUAGGAAUGAUAAGGCUGUGGAGCUAGGCACUGCUGAGGAGGGAAGGGCUGAUGCUUAGAAUUCUCUGUUGGUUUGGUUUAAUGAUAAUGGUUAUGUUUUAUGUUUUAUGAUGGGUCCCAUGUUGGGACGUUUUGUUGGUUUGACUUUAAGACAAUAUGUCCUUGGGCAUGAUGUAGGUAUUGUGGUGGGAUGAUAGUAAUAGUGUAAUUUCUAUAGUGGGGUGAUGGUAACCCCACAUAAGAAGGUUAAAUGUGUUUUGGGUUUGUUGUAGGGACGAAGUCCCCUUUUUAUUGGAACUAGUGAUGUUUUAAAUGAAUGAAUGGUGGACUCUGAGAGUCCUUUGGGUAAUAUGUUGAACAGAUUGUCUA